rnacentral:rRNA from 1 species
UACGAAGGGGGCUAGCGUUGCUCGGAAUCACUGGGCGUAAAGCGCACGUAGGCGGAUUGUUAAGUCAGGGGUGAAAUCCCGGGGCUCAACCCCGGAACUGCCUUUAAAACUGUUGGUCUGGAGGUCGAGAGAGGUGAGUGGAAUUCCGAGUGUAGAGGUGAAAUUCGUAGAUAUUCGGAGGAACACCAGUGGCGAAGGCGGCUCACUGGCUCGAUACUGACGCUGGAGGUGCGAAAGCGUGGGGAGCAAACAGG